rnacentral:tRNA from 1 species
GCGAAGAUAGUUUAGUGGUUAGAAUACCUCGUUGCCAAUCAUAGCAAAAACGAGGUGACCCGGGUUCAAAUCCCGGUCUCCGCA